rnacentral:pre_miRNA from 13 species
GCAUAUUUCAGGUUUGUGCAUGAAUCUAAUAUAGCUAAAAAAAUCCCAUCAAACACAAAUUAAAAUACUAGAUAGCAAUCAGCACUAGUUUAGUAUAGUAUUAGAUUCACGCACAAACUCGUAAUCUGUCU